CUUCCCGUCUCUUGGGGCGCUCUACACCACGGGGGCCCAGCUGACCACGUGGUGUCCUGAGGGUGGGCCUUCUGCAGGAUGAACUCUCAGGCUCAGCGCACAGGCCAGGGUGAACAGAUGAGCGAAGUCAAGAGCAAGUCACGGAAUGCCCGGGACUCGGCUGGUGCACGGAGACAGGGCGGUGCUGGCUGGGGAAAGCCGACCCCACAGGCGGUGCAGGACCAAGCGCAGGCAGGCUCCGUGGGACAGCAACAGACAGAGCACACGGCGGCCUGCCAGAGGCCUUUCCCUACCAGGCGGGGCAGAAGCAGCAAGUGUGAACAUCCUCCCGCG
rnacentral:lncRNA from 1 species